GGGCGUUUGGCGCAGUCGGUAGCGCGAGGGUCUCAUAAUCCCAAGGUUGCGAGUUCGAUCCUCGCACUGCCAA
rnacentral:tRNA from 1 species